UACGUAGGGUGCAAGCGUUGUCCGGAAUUAUUGGGCGUAAAGAGCUCGUAGGCGGCUUGUCGCGUCGACUGUGAAAACCCGCGGCUCAACUGCGGGUCUGCAGUCGAUACGGGCAGGCUAGAGUUCGGUAGGGGAGACUGGAAUUCCUGGUGUAGCGGUGAAAUGCGCAGAUAUCAGGAGGAACACCGGUGGCGAAGGCGGGUCUCUGGGCCGAUACUGACGCUGAGGAGCGAAAGCGUGGGGAGCGAACAGG
rnacentral:rRNA from 1 species